rnacentral:rRNA from 1 species
AAUCUUGCACAAUGGACGAAAGUCUGAUGCAGCGACGCCGCGUGGGGGAUGAAGGUCUUUGGAUCGUAAACCCCUGUCGGAGGGGAAGAAUACCAUGACGGUACCCUCCAAGGAAGCCCCGGCUAACUACGUGCCAGCAGCCGCGGUAAUACGUAGGGGGCAAGCGUUGUCCGGAAUUAUUGGGCGUAAAGGGUGCGUAGGCGGCCUUUUAAGUCAGAUGUGAAAGACCACGGCUUAACCGUGGGGUUGCAUUUGAAACUGGAGGGCUUGAGUAUCGGAGAGGGUAGUGGAAUUCCCAGUGUAGCGGUGGAAUGCGUAGAUAUUGGGAGGAACACCAGUGGCGAAGGCGACUACCUGGACGAAAACUGACGCUGAGGCACGAAAGCUAGGGGAGCAAACA